UACGUAGGUGGCAAGCGUUGUCCGGAUUUUCCGGGCGUAAAGAGCGCGCAGGCGGUCGUUCAAGUCGCGUGUGAAAGCCCCCGGCUCAACUGGGGAGGGUCACGCGAUACUGAUCGACUCGAAGGCAGGAGAGGGUAGUGGAAUUCCCGGUGUAGUGGUGAAAUGCGUAGAUAUCGGGAGGAACACCAGUGGCGAAGGCGACUACCUGGCCUGUUCUUGACGCUGAGGCGCGAAAGCUAGGGGAGCAAACGGG
rnacentral:rRNA from 1 species